rnacentral:rRNA from 1 species
CGUCAAGUCAUCAUGGCCUUUAUGUCCAGGGCUACACACGUAUUACAAUGGUCGGUACAGAGGGUAGCAAUAUCGCAAGGUGGAGCAAAUCCCUAAAAGCCGACCUCAGUUCAGAUUGUGGGCUGCAAUUCGCCCACAUGAAGCAGGAAUCGCUAGUAAUCGCAGAUCAGCAGGCUGCGGUGAAUACGUUCCCGGGCCUU